rnacentral:tRNA from 1 species
CGAAGGGUGUCCGAGCGGCUUAAGGAGCCGGUCUCGAAAACCGGUGAAUGCGCAAGCGUUCCGUGGGUUCAAAUCCCACCCCUUCGGCCA